rnacentral:rRNA from 1 species
UACGGGGGGAGCAAGCGUUGUUCGGAUUUACUGGGCGUAAAGGGCGCGUAGGCGGCCACCGCAAGUCGACUGUGAAAUCUCCGGGCUUAACCCGGAAAGGUCAGCCGAUACUGCGGGGCUAGAGUGCAGAAGGGGCAACUGGAAUUCUCGGUGUAGCGGUGAAAUGCGUGGAUAUCGAGAGGAACACCUGCGGCGAAGGCGGGUUGCUGGGCUGACACUGACGCUGAGGCGCGAAAGCUAGGGGAGCGAACGGG